GGACGGGGAGAGGUUGGAGCAGUGAAAGUUUGUCUUUUAUCCUGGAUUCAAGCAGAGUUUCCACACCUCCUCCCCCUCUCCCCCAACCCCCAUAUUUCAGCUUUCAAUUAGAAAAGGAAAACCCAACAAACAUUUGGCUCCUACUGCUACUGGAGAAGGGGAGUGUCUCCAGCUCUGGAAAAGCCCAGGAGGAAGGUAGCUCUGGAUUCCUACCACAGAAGUACUUUUAAAAUACUUGGAUGCUUUUUGAUCUUCAUUAUAAAUGUCCAGGAAUUCUGUGAUACUGCCCAUCUUUUCUGGUGCUGGGGUCAAAUGUAUAGCGGGGAGGCAUUCACAAAAGCUCACAGAAAUAACACCAGUAGCCUGUGCUAGAAGUGAUGCAGUCCAUCACAGGACUCCACGUGCCACAGAGUGGACAGGGAUGCAAAGGGAAGUGCAGAGUCCUUGUGCUCCCCCAUGGCCCUGGGGAGCAGAAGGCUGGCCACUAACAAAGCACCGUCUGCUGGGCAUGCCUCUGGGCCAGCAUGCUAAUUGGAAACAGAGGGCCUUCUGCCUGCAGCCUCCCAGCCCCAGUCCUUGGAAGUGUGCAAUCAUGAUCAAUAAUGCUCCCUGGGAAUCUUUUAAAGUGCUCCUGGCCACAUCGCUCCAGUAAAGGAUUUGUCAGCCUUUCCAUAAACCCCAGUUUUGAAGAGUUUAUAGCUCAGAUUGUUUUCAUUAUCUUGAGGUGAAAGUUGCUAUAUAAAAUUUCAGACCAGAAACACUUUUUCCCUUAGUAAUACAAAAUAUUGUUUAAAACAAAUUUUGCCUCCAAAUUUAGACUCCUGGUAACAACCAUGCUGUUCCCUCCCCAGUUGCUUUGGGUGUGUUGUUCACAACUUCUGCAUGAAAAACUGCUGAAUUUAAGGAUUAACAAAUAGGCAGUGAACUCUUCUGUUGAACUUUUAAACCACCGACUAAUUCACUCAGGACUGCCUGGUUACUCUACUCCCUCCCAAGAAACGCAGUAAGACCAAGUAAGGAACUUUGGGGGAAAAAGAGCAAACAUUGCUGCUCUGUUUUCCCCUUUCAGUAGCUGAAACUACAGUUUUGAAGCUCACUGCAGCUCCAUUCAUGGCAAACUACUUUGCCACUUUUCCCUGUUAAACUGUUGCUACACUGCAAGACAGAAAUAACUGAGCUUCCAGUAACAGACACUUCUUUUCCUGUACAGGAAUAGCACUCCAGAUACCUAUGCUGAUAGACAACAGUGGGAGAAGAGAACUAGGGAUAUCCUUCCAAACUCAAAAAAUUUUUACAAAACAGGGAAUAGAACAUCAUAACUUAAUAUCUCUGGGACUGACCCAGGUGAACCAGAAGGGUUGUCACACAACUGAGUUUAUCUGCCAAAGCCAAGCGGAUUUAUAUUUGCUAGAUCUCCACUGUCUGGGAACAUUGUCCAUUUUAUCCAGAUGUCAUGUGACCAAUAUAAUCCAGGCAGAAUUAACAUGUUUUGGAUGUUUUCUUAACAAAAAGGGACAUUUCCCACCCCCCCUCCUUUUUUUUUUUUUUUGUGGGGGGGGGGGGUAGCAGGGGAGCGAGGGGAAAGGGGGAUAUAGACUGUGCUUAGGGUAACUUCCCUUCAACCAAUGGAAUUUUUUGUGUAAGAAAGUUGGGAAAAAAUAAAAGGAAAAAAAAAUGUUUUCUUUCUAAUCA
rnacentral:lncRNA from 1 species